GGGGAAUUUUGGACAAUGGGGGCAACCCUGAUCCAGCCAUUCCGCGUGAGUGAAGAAGGCCUUCGGGUUGUAAAGCUCUUUCAGCAGGAACGAAACGGCUCUCUCUAACAUAGGGAGUUAAUGACGGUACCUGAAGAAGAAGCACCGGCUAACUACGUGCCAGCAGCCGCGGUAAUACGUAGGGUGCGAGCGUUAAUCGGAAUUACUGGGCGUAAAGCGUGCGCAGGCGGCGCCAUAAGACAGAUGUGAAAUCCCCGGGCUUAACCUGGGAACUGCGUUUGUGACUGUGGUGCUCGAGUGUGGCAGAGGGGGGUGGAAUUCCACGUGUAGCAGUGAAAUGCGUAGAGAUGUGGAGGAACACCGAUGGCGAAGGCAGCCCCCUGGGUCAACACUGACGCUCAUGCACGAAAGCGUGGGGAGCAAAC
rnacentral:rRNA from 1 species